AUAUCAUGGUCAAUAUAUCGAAAUAUAAAAUGAUAUGGGACCAUUAACGAUGAUUUUAUGCACUAAAUUAAACAUCUACCAAGUACAAAUCAUCAAAAAAGUCUCACAAAACAUCUUAGAAUAAGUUUUUACGAGGCUAAAGAAUGUAAACUAUGCAUUAGUUUGAUGGUAACAUACUAACACUCCUCUAAACAGAGACUUCUAGAUCGAGAUAUAGAAGGUCGUGCCAUGAUCAAUACCAUCCAAGCCACCUCGUCAUCAUCUAUUGUGCAGCCUUCCUUAGUUAUGGACUGAUGUCAGGCACUUCCUCUUAACCAAACUUCUCACAUUUUUUCCGUAAUAUACGCAGAUCUAGCAUAAGACCCUUCCCUUUUUUUAUGUAGCCACCCUCACCAUGAUCCUUAGCCAGAUGCUCCAUAUUGUGAAUUUUGUAGAAUGGAUGAUACGUUGUUUAUCUAGAAAAUAUAUGCAUGUCUUCCAUCAUACCAUAUUAUCAAACAUAACUAGUAUACUAAAUAUGAUGAAAGAUUCGCUACAACCAUCCAUUUUUGAUAUAAAAAGAUCUAUCAUAUAUGUUGCAUAUAUAAAAAGUUUUCUGUGGUGCAUAUUAUGUAGCUAAAAAUAAUAAUUUAAUAAAAAUUAGAAAAGAAGAAAAAGACACCUUUAGCCCCCUGCAGAA
rnacentral:lncRNA from 1 species